UACGGAGGGUGCAAGCGUUAUCCGGAUUUAUUGGGUUUAAAGGGUGUGUAGGCGGGCUUUUAAGUCAGUGGUGAAAUCUCCGGGCUCAACCCGGAAACUGCCAUUGAUACUAUUAGUCUUGAAUUCUGUUGAGGUAGGCGGAAUAAGUCAUGUAGCGGUGAAAUGCUUAGAUAUGACUUAGAACACCAAUUGCGAAGGCAGCUUGCUAAACAGAUAUUGACGCUGAGGCACGAAAGCGUGGGGAUCAAACAGG
rnacentral:rRNA from 1 species